rnacentral:tRNA from 1 species
AUUAAAGUAAGCUAAAUUUAAGCUGUUGGGUUCAUACCCCAAAAAUGAAUAAGUUCCUUUAUUA